ACCCGCACAAGCGGUGGAUGAUGUGGUUUAAUUCGAUGCAACGCGAAAACCUUACCCACCUUGACAUGGCAGGAAUCCCGAAGAGAUUGGGAGUGCUCGAAAGAGAACCUGCACACAGGUGCUGCAUGGCUGUCGUCAGCUCGUGUCGUGAGAUGUUGGGUUAAGUCCCGCAACGAGCGCAACCCUUGCCAUUAGUUGCUACGAAAGGGCACUCUAAUGGGACUGCCGGUGACAAACCGGAGGAAGGGUGGGGAUGACGUCAAGUCCCUCAUCGGCCCUUAUAGGUGGGGCUACACACGUCAUACAAUGGCCGGUACAGGAGGGUAGCCCAACCCGCGAGGGGGAGCCAAUCCCACAAAGCCGGUCGUAGUCCGGAUCGCAGUCUGCAACUCGACUGCGUGAAGUCGGAAUCGCUAGUAAUCGCGGAUCAGCAUGUCGCGGUGAAUACGUUCCCGGGUCUU
rnacentral:rRNA from 1 species